rnacentral:rRNA from 1 species
UAUAUUGAGAGUUUGAUCCUGGCUCAGGAUGAACGCUGGCGGCGUGCUUAACACAUGCAAGUCGAACGGACGGAUUGGAGCUUGCUCCAUGAAGUUAGUGG